UGCCAGCAGCCGCGGUAAUACGGAGGAUCCAAGCGUUAUCCGGAUUCAUUGGGUUUAAAGGGUCCGUAGGCGGAUUUUUAAGUCAGUGGUGAAAGCCGACAGCUCAACUGUCGAACUGCCAUUGAUACUGGAAAUCUUGAGUACAAAUGAAGUAGGCGGAAUGUGUCAUGUAGCGGUGAAAUGCAUAGAUAUGACACAGAACACCGAUUGCGAAGGCAGCUCACUAAACUAUCACUGACGCUGAGGCACGAAAGCGUGGGUAGCGAACAGGAUUAGAUA
rnacentral:rRNA from 1 species